rnacentral:tRNA from 1 species
CGGGGCGUGGCUCAGCUUGGUAGAGCGCUCGUUUCGGGUGCGAGAGGUCGGGAGUUCAAAUCUCCCCGCCCCGACCA